GACGAACGCUGGCGGCGUGCCUAACACAUGCAAGUCGAGCGGAGUCGAUCGACGGAAGCCUUCGGGCGGAAGAUGGUUGACUUAGCGGCGGAUGGGUGAGUAACGCGUGGGCAACCUGCCUCGAAGACCGGGAUAACAGCCCGAAAGGGCUGCUAAUACCGGAUGUGGUCAAGGAUCCGCAUGGAUUUUUGAUUAAAGGGGAAACCCGUUUCGAGAUGGGCCCGCGUCCUAUCAGCUAGUUGGUGAGGUAAAGCUCACCAAGGCGACGACGGGUAGCCGGCCUGAGAGGGUGACCGGCCACACUGGAACUGAGACACGGUCCAGACUCCUACGGGGGCAGCAGUGGGGAAUCUUCCACAAUGGGCGAAAGCCUGAUGGAGCGACGCCGCGUGAGCGAAGAAGGCCUUCGGGUGUAAAGCUCUGUCUGGAGGGACGAAGGAAGUGACGGUACCUCCGGAGGAAGCCACGGCUAACUACGUGCCAGCAGCCGCGGUAAGAUCACGUGUA
rnacentral:rRNA from 1 species